GAAGACUAUCAAAUAGUGAAAACGCCUCGUGAGAUGAUGUUUUCCUGUGUUUUUAAAAGGGAGCGUGAGUUCUUCACAAUGGAGUGAUGGUGACUUAUAACACAACUUCUAUUAUGUAACACGGCCAGAGAAUGAAACUGUCAUCGAUUUCUGAAAGUGCUUGAGGAGGAAGCUUACCAUUAAACUUUGUCUUUUAAACAUGGACAUUACUAAACCCCCACAAAACAACACGAUCUCCUACAAUCACGAUAACGCACCAUUGUUAUGUAUAACCACCGGCCAAAUAAUCGCCAUUUAGAUGGCAGCGAUAAAUAGAACCGAUAGCUUCUGUAUAAUUUGAUUCAUUUAGUGAGUGUAAUUCAUAGAAAUCGCCUAAAAGGACUGAUGAUAGUUCGCUGGUCAACGCGCAGUGUGUUCGGCUAGCUACAUAUAACUGGAUAAUAGCAUUUAAUACAUUCACGCCGAUCAGGCAACUUUCAUUCCGAGGGACACAUCGCGCAAUUCAACAUUAUUAGACAUGAAACAUUUUCUGGGGGUUGUUUCGCGAGGCUUUUUUGUUGAUGCGAGUGCGGCUGAUUUCGUGCACAUGCUAGAAACGCCUGCAACCAAGUCAAGUUACUGAAACGUCAUAGCUUCAGCAAUAGAGCCAGGCACUCAUACGCGCGAGCACAAGUCACCUUUUUUUUGGAGACGGGAAAAAAGAUGCAGGCAAAGCAAAAUCGCUCGUUAACGCCAAGCUUUGACCCAGACAUCAUCUUUCCAAGGGACAAACUGAAAUUAAACAGCUCUGGUCAUGUGACUGUUUACACCCGCCAUGUAAAAAUGUUCACAUGAAAUGAAGACAGUCUGCACUUUCAUUUAUGGUAGGUAUCUUUGUGUAAAAUACACUAACAACUUUUUAAAAGACCCUUCAACAUCAAAAGUAAAUUUUAGUCACGCAUAUUACCGGUGGAUUUGAAUUUGCUGAAAUGCUCCGGGAAAUGCUUCUUUAGGUCAAACGAGGCUUAACAUGCAGUUUAGACCCAACUCCGAUAGAUGGCACUACUUUCAAUCUUUUCAAAUUAGUUUAAGCGGCUGUGAUGGACGGUGAUGAUGGCUCAGCACAAAGUAGCUACAUUGAAUGAACGCCUUCCUGCCAGUUCCUUAGCAAAAUGAUCAAAAUAACAUGCAUUUCUGAACCUAAAUAAAUAUGGGAUCUCGUUUGGGAGGUUAUUUAUU
ensembl:lncRNA